GACGAACCGUGCGAACGUUGUUCGGAAUCACUGGGCUUAAAGGGCGCGUAGGCGGCUUGCCAAGUCCGGGGUGAAAGCCUCCAGCUUAACUGGAGAAGUGCCUUGGAUACUGGCAGGCUCGAGCGAGGUAGGGGCAGAUGGAACUUCCGGUGGAGCGGUGAAAUGCGUUGAUAUCGGAAGGAACGCCGGUGGCGAAAGCGAUCUGCUGGACCUCUUCUGACGCUGAGGCGCGAAAGCUAGGGUAGCGAACGGG
rnacentral:rRNA from 1 species